rnacentral:misc_RNA from 1 species
AUUUUCAUUUGUUGUCAAAAUAAUAUAUCUAUUUUCAUUUGUUGUCAAAAUAAUGUAUCACCUCUGCAGGGAUUGAUAGAGAGGUGUUUAAUUUAUGCAUAAAUGUUGCGUUUAGUUUGGGAAGAAAUGAAAAUANNNNCCCAUAUUAUUAAUUCGAUUGUUUCUAUAUAUUAUUAUGUUCUUUGCUUAAAAAAAUAGAG